GCCACAGCUCAGUGGUAGAGCAUCUGCUUGGAAUGCAGGAGGUCCUGGAUUCAAUCCCUGUGAUUCCCAGUUAAAACA
rnacentral:tRNA from 1 species